rnacentral:rRNA from 1 species
UACGUAGGGUGCAAGCGUUGUCCGGAAUUAUUGGGCGUAAAGGGCGCGUAGGCGGUUUGUCGCGUCGGGGGUGAAAACCCCGGGCUUAACUCGGUGCUUGCUUUCGAUACGGGCAGACUAGAGGCAUGCAGGGGAGAACGGAAUUCCUGGUGUAGCGGUGAAAUGCGCAGAUAUCAGGAGGAACACCGGUGGCGAAGGCGAUUCUCUGGGCAUGUACUGACGCUGAGGAGCGAAAGUGUGGGGAGCGAACAGG